rnacentral:lncRNA from 1 species
UGCGGCAAAAAAAAUGACAUUUAUUGAUAUUCAAAGUAUUACAAAGGCCAAAGUAUUACAAAAGACCUAAAUCACAAAUAUACACAAGUAUAUAAUUAGAAGAUAAAUUUGGAUGCAGUCACAACUUCCAAUCAACAGCAACUGUUGUACCUCCCAGAUCAUGAGUGUGCCAUCAGAUCCUCCAUUAAAUCUGAAAUCACAAAAGAGAAAGCUUUAGAGAAUGAUAGAU